UGAUGGUCCAGUUAGCACAGCCCAUCUAGCCAUAUGGACCAGGAUGGCACCAACCUGUUAUCCUUCCACUGCUGGGAGCGAGAGGUAAUCGCAGCUCUGUGAAGCCAGCCUCACGCAUUACACCCUGCUCUAGGAACUAGGAGACCCAAGCCUUCGCCCAGGUCCCAUGGUUUAACUCUCAGCUUGGAACGGGCAAGCCAGAAAUUAGCCAAGCCUGAUCCUGCCAUAAGGGCUCAAACAACGUCCCAACACCUCAAAGCCCCCACUUGGGUUACAAGCCCACGUUACUGAGCUCAGCUAUUUCCAUUGUCCUUGCAUUGGAAAGAUAAAUAUUAAUGAGUUUUAAUUCUGGCCGAUAUGGGAUUGACAUUCUUUAAUGUCCAUAUGCCCCUCAAGAAAAAGUCACUUGAAUUUUGCUGAUUUCAUCAUUAAAAAAAAAUAAACCUUAAUUGAACUUGGUAUAUAAUUGGGUACAUGCAGUUCAACAAUUUGAUUAUAAGUGUGAGUUCAAGCAUAAACCACUAUAAAUCAUAAGAAAAAUUCAUAAAACUUUGGAUUUGAGGCCUUCCAAUUUUUUAAAAAUCAAUCAUAAACCUAUCAACUAAGAAGAUAUUGAUAAAUAAACUCUCUUACAAAUUGAUCAACUGUGUUCUUUAUCGGUCAAGUAUGUGUAGAAAUAUUUGAUCUUUGGAGAGGAAUUAAGAAAUACAUCUAUUAUUUUAAGGGAUUGUUUGACAUUACUGUUGGAGUUGCCGUUGAGAAAAAUAUUUUUUUAAAAAUAUCGUUUAAGAAUAUUAAAAGAUAAUUUAAAAUUAUUUUUCAUAUAAUUUAAUUACGAGAAUAUAAAAUAACAAAAUAGCUUUUUUCAAACUAUUUUUUCCAAAGAAACACUUUUAUAACUCCUUUUGCUUGAGUUAAGUCACAUGCUUCCAUAAUUUUUAUUAUUAUUAUUAUUUGUCAGAUCUCAACUGCUGCAUUCCCGAGAAACUCUGCUUAAUAUCUUCUCACAAAUUCUUCAUAUUUUGGACGUGAGAGAUAAUCAAUCUAAGUGUUGGUUCAAUGGUAUUAAAUGUUUGAAGAAUCUAUCGAUAAAAUCGUAUUUCUUUUUGGCUCUCAACGUAGUCCACAUGGCCCUUGUCCAUUUUUCGUACUUCCCUCUUUACAACUGCACACUCAGUUAGUCAAAUUGCUUGGGUUGUCAUUUAAAUUUAGUGUAUAAAGAUUGGAAGAAAUUUUCAUUGUUUCUGAAUUCUCUCCGUGUUUUUUUUUUUUCAACUUUUAUGACUCUGAUACCAUGUAAAAUUUGGAGAAUCACACAAUUUGAGAAUAAAAAUCAUUUCCCUUUCAUUGGCAGAGAAGUGACAAUAUAUACACCAAAUUCACCUUGUUUAGAAAAACUUAAGAAUGCAAAACUUUUUAUACAGUAUAAGCCAAACUUUCUGCGUUGUACAAACUAAAUUUCUUAUACUGCAUAAGACAAAGAAGGAAAGAAAAUAUAUUUAUACACAAAUCAAGCCUUAAACCACCACAAAUGGGUAGGACGUCUCGGAAAGGUUGGUCGACAAGUCGGAUCAUCGACACUGAUCAACAGGGAUCAAAUGAGCAGUUUAGGGAGAAGCUCAGACCAUUUGGUUUAACAGUGGAAGAAUCGUAAAGGCGAUUCUUUAGGGAAGAGAAGUAGAAGAGAGACUUAUUUUGAUUGCCAUUAAUUUAGAACUACCACAAAACUUUCCAAUAUAUGUAUUUAUUUAUAGCAGUUGAAACUAGGCGUCUAAAUCUGUCAAGGACUUGAAUCAGUAAUCCUUUUUGUGACUGGAGAAAAUCUUGAAUCCUAGACUGUAUACUUUCAGAAAAUGAAAGUGCAAUGUAUUGCUGCAGACCUUUUGAAGGGUAUCCGUGGUGCACGAUUCAUUGCUUUAUUCUGUACGGCUUAGAUUACCCACUGAAAUUGAUUCUAUUAAAGGAAAUGUAUGUUUACAUUUUGUUCAGCUAUCUGUGGAAGAUAUAAUUUUGCUGAAAAGGGGAGGCGAAGAAAUUUAUUUUGAGAAUAAUAUGAGUAUUUCAUUGAUAGGGGAUAUUAUUAAUCUGAUAUGCUUCUAAAGUUUUGCUAUUUAUUAUCGAUUACUCUAAUUCUCAAAUAUUUUUUUAAUAAAAAAAUUAAAAUGUGAAUGGAAAAAAGUGAUGGUCCAGUUAGCACAGCCCAUCUAGCCAUAUGGACCAGGAUGGCACCAACCUGUUAUCCUUCCACUGCUGGGAGCGAGAGGUAAUCGCUGCUCUGUGAAGCCAGCCUCACGCAUUACCCUCUGCUCUAGGAACUAGGAGACCCAAGCCUUCGCCCAGGUCCCCUGGUUUAACUCUCAGCUUGGAACGGGCAAGCCAGAAAUUAGCCAAGCCUGAUCCUGCCAUAAGGGCUCGAACAACGUUCCAACACCUUAGAGCCCCCACUUGGGUUACAAGCCCACGUUACUGAGCUCGGCG
rnacentral:lncRNA from 1 species